rnacentral:rRNA from 1 species
UGGGGAAUAUUGGACAAUGGGGGAAACCCUGAUCCAGCAAUGCCGCGUGUGUGAUGAAGGCCUUCGGGUUGUAAAGCACUUUUGUCAGGGACGAUGAUGACGGUACCUGACGAAUAAGCUCCGGCUAACUUCGUGCCAGCAGCCGCGGUAAUACGAGGGGAGCUAGCGUUGUUCGGAAUUACUGGGCGUAAAGGGCGUGUAGGCGGUACCAUAAGUCAGAUGUGAAAGCCCUAGGCUUAACCUAGGAGGUGCAUUUGAUACUGUGGAACUAGAGAUCGAGAGAGGAAAGUGGAAUUACGAGUGUAGAGGUGAAAUUCGUAGAUAUUCGUAAGAACACCAGUGGCGAAGGCGACUUUCUGGCUCGAUACUGACGCUAAGGCGCGAAAGCGUGGGGAGCAAACAGGAUUAGAUACCCACGUAGUCCCUGAGCGGGCUGGCAAGGCGCAU